CCUACGGGAGGCAGCAGUGGGGCAUCUUGCACAAUGGGGGAAACCCUGAUGCAGCGACGCCGCGUGAGUGAAGACUUCUUUCGGUAUUUAAAGCUCUAUUAGUAGGGAAGAAAAUGACGGUACCUGUUUAAUAAGCCCCGUCUAACUACGUGCAAGCAGCCGCGGUACUACGUAGGCAGCAAGCGUUAUCCGGAUUUACUGGGGGUAAAGGGAGCGUAUACGGUAGGACAAGUCCGGAGUGAAAUUCUGGGGCUUAACCGCAGAACUGCCUUGGAAACUGUGCAGCUAGAGUGCAGGAGAGGUAAGUGGAAUUCGUGGUGUAGCGGUGAAAUGCGUAGAUAUUAGGAGGAACACCGAUGGCGAAGGCGGCUUACUGGACUGUAACUGACGUUGAGGCUCGAAAGCGUGGGGAGCAAACAGGAUUAGAUACCCGGGUAGUC
rnacentral:rRNA from 1 species